ACUCCUACGGGAGGCAGCAGUAGGGAAUCUUCCACAAUGGGCGCAAGCCUGAUGGAGCAACACCGCGUGAGUGAAGAAGGGUUUCGGCUCGUAAAGCUCUGUUGUUAAAGAAGAACACGUAUGAGAGUAACUGUUCAUACGUUGACGGUAUUUAACCAGAAAGUCACGGCUAACUACGUGCCAGCAGCCGCGGUAAUACGUAGGUGGCAAGCGUUAUCCGGAUUUAUUGGGGCGUAAAGAGAGUGCAGGCGGUUUUCUAAGUCUGAUGUGAAAGCCUUCGGCUUAACCGGAGAAGUGCAUCGGAAACUGGAUAACUUGAGUGCAGAAGAGGGUAGUGGAACUCCAUGUGUAGCGGUGGAAUGCGUAGAUAUAUGGAAGAACACCAGUGGCGAAGGCGGCGUAACCUGGUCUGGCAACUGACGCUGAGACUCGAAAGCAUGGGUAGCGAACAGGAUUAGAUACCCUGGUAGGAUAGCG
rnacentral:rRNA from 1 species